GGCUGUAAAAUCUGUGUGGAGAGAGAGAAGGCCUGCAAGGUAGUAUCCAUGAAAGCACACAUUAUGCACAAGGGCUGUCAGUCCUACCAGGAGGUAGAUAUGCCAUAUUGUGAAGGAUCCUGCAACACUUUCACCAAGUACUCAGAAGCAGCAGCUGCUAUGCAGCAUUCUUGUUCCC